CUACGGGGCGCAGCAGUGGGGAAUAUUGCACAAUGGAGGAAACUCUGAUGCAGCAACGCCGCGUGGAGGGUGACACUUUUCGGAGCGUAAACUCCUUUUAUAUAGGAAGAAGAUGACGGUACUAUAUGAAUAAGCGCCGGCUAACUCCGUGCCAGCAGCCGCGGUAAUACGGAGGGCGCAAGCGUUACUCGGAAUCACUGGGCGUAAAGAGCGUGUAGGCGGAUUAAAAAGUCAGAAGUGAAAUCCUAUAGCUUAACUAUAGAACUGCUUCUGAAACUCUUAAUCUAGAAUAUGGGAGAGGUAGAUGGAAUUUCUGGUGUAGGGGUAAAAUCCGUAGAGAUCAGAAGGAAUACCGAUUGCGAAGGCGAUCUACUAGAACAUUAUUGACGCUGAGACGCGAAAGCGUGGGGAGCAAACAGGAUUAGAUACCCUUGUAGUC
rnacentral:rRNA from 1 species